AACGAACGCUGGCGGUAUGCUUAACACAUGCAAGUCGAACGGACUUAUUAGAGCUUGCUUUAAUAAGUUAGUGGCAAACGGGUGAGUAACACGUGGGAAUCUACCCAUCAGUACGGAAUAACAUUUGGAAACAAAUGCUAAUACCGUAUAUUCUCUACGGAGGAAAGAUUUAUCGCUGAUGGAUGAGCCCGCGUUAGAUUAGGUAGUUGGUAGGGUAAUGGCCUACCAAGCCGACGAUCUAUAGCUGGUCUGAGAGGAUGAUCAGCCACACUGGGACUGAGACACGGCCCAGACUCCUACGGGAGGCAGCAGUGGGGAAUAUUGGACAAUGGGCGAAAGCCUGAUCCAGCAAUACCGCGUGGAGGAUGAAGGCUUUAGGGUUGUAAACUCCUUUUGUGGGGAAAAGAAUGGAUGGUACCCCAAGAAUAAGUCACGGCUAACUACGUG
rnacentral:rRNA from 1 species